ensembl:lncRNA
UCACACAACUGGGGUCCUUUGGCCAGCUCCGAGUAUCAGCCGCUUCCACUAAUCCGUGGACUGUGAGUGUAACUGUACAGCAGGACAGAAUGAGUGGUAACUCACUUGAGUGUGGGGUGUGGUUUUAUUCAUAAGGAAGAAAUUAUUUAUCUUGAACUUUUCCCUGUGUUAUCCCGUUUCUAUUGGCUUAUCUCUAAUAACUAUGAUAAUAAAAUUUAAACAAGAGUAGAAAAGGGCUUGGACUCAUGAAUAUGAAAAAAUGACAAGCUGCAACUUGUGAGUGUGAAAUGCUGUGAACUCUUCAUUGGUGGUUUCCAACUUGAAACAGAUCUGAGAGUUUCAGCUGUAAGAAGGGCUGGAACAAGAACACUCUCUGGAUGGCCCAGCAUUGGGCAAGUGUUUGCAGAAAGGUGGAAGCCUCCAUUUGCACUGCAGUGUGGCCUGUCAGGAGCCCGAGCUUCAUCUCUCAGCUUCUUUGUGGAUUUGCAGGGCACUUAUAGUUUCCUCAACUAUAAAAAUGAGGAGAGGAGUAACCUGAGUUCUGAGAACAGACAAAAAAUGUUAAGAGGAACUGAAGUAACACUUAGCUACUACAACUCUGCUGUGACAACCAAUUUCUAAGCUUUACCAUUCUGAAAUCACCUCCGUAUUGCAUCUGGUUUUGGAGGACAGUUACAGUUCUGUUUGUCCAUUUGAUGUCUACCAGCACCCCAGGGGGUCGUCUUAGAUUACAAACUCCACAAGGACAGAAGCCUUAUAACCCUGAGUGUGUAGCUGAGCAGAGUAUCUGGUACAUCAUAGAUACGGACUGAGGCAACUUGAGCGGAGUUUAGAACAACUUUGGAGCAAGCUCAGAGAUGGCCAGAUUAGAAGCAGAUUUGCUAUGAUUUUACCUAGGAAUAGCAACAACAAGUUUUGCUCCUGAUGAAUGGAAGAUGCUAGUUUAUUUAAAGGAAUAAGAAAGGAAACUGACGACAUGACUUGCAGAAUCCCAAGCCUUUGCGCAAAAUCAGGGCUGAGAAAACCUGCCUGGAUGCCUAUGGGAUGUGUGGUUCUGCUCUGAGUAGGCGCGCUCUACAAAUUCCUGUUCGAUGAUUCCAGUUACUCCACUGGAUGCAGCUUUAAUGAGCUCCCAGGAGCGGCUAGCCACCUCCCUUAAGAGUGGCUGACUGCUGACAGCUGCAAGCUGUGCGUGGAGUCAGCAUCGUUGCGAGAUGAAGGAGGAGGAGAAAGGGCAAUCCUGAGUAAACAUCUAGGAAUUUGUACGAGGAGAUUAGCAGAGAACAUAAAACUGUACAUAAGAUGAAAUAUCAGUUAAUGCGAACUUCAUUCUGGUUGGUAUACCAGUUAAAAAAAGCAAAAGCGAAAGCUGACAUUUGCUUGUCUAAGGUUUGGUUUAACCUACACGUGAGUUUUGGACCAAAUGCUUUAGUUAGAAUUUUUUUUUUUUUUUGAUGAAGCCUAUACAAUCCAGUUUCCCACAUUUCCUAAUACUUGCUAAUCUCUUGCUUCACUCCUUUUCACAAUACUUCAGACUCCUGAAGGCAGAAACCCCAGGCUUGCAAGAAGCAGCAACCAGAGAGAGAGACCUUUGGGUGCCAAACUGGCCUAAAAUUAGAAAUUAGUCCUUACAAUUGGUUUAACCAUGCUUUCAGAACUUAGGGGCAUUGCUUCUUUAAUGUGUCUUUGUUGACGGCUACAACUUGUGGAAACACUUUAACAAGAAGGGCUGGUUGUGAGUAAUUCCCCAGAGCAUCUUACAGAUACACAUUUUUUCCAACAAUCAAGAAGCACUUAUUGUGUGUGUAGCCGAGGAGCAUAGGCGUGUGAUGUCUCAUUGCAUUUGCGUGGCUGUGGGAGCCUCAGAGAGUAAGGACUUUCUCAAGGUACUCAACAGCCACCAGGGCCAUCAACGAUCUCCUGAGCCCAAUACCAGGCCUUUCCACAGGUCCCUGAGGCAACACAUGCUUUCCUAUCAUUUUGGGCACUGAAAAGAAGAACAGUGAUUUCAUAAUUUAUAAACGAUCAGCCUGAAGGAAGAUCUGCUGCGAGAUUAGAGUAAAAUAAAAAUAGCUAACAUGUUUCACCUGCCUACUUUGUGCUGGCAAUGGUGUAAGUGCUUACACAUAUUGGUUAAUUCAUUUAAUAGUCACAUCAACCCUAUAAGGUAUUAUUCUCUCUCUCUUUUU